AAUUGGUCAAGCUAAAAAGGGCGCAGGGCGAAUGCCUUGGCACUAGGAACCGAUGAAGGACGCGACAAGCUGCGAUAAGCUACGGGGAGACGCAAGUAGUCAUUGAGCCGUAGAUUUCCGAAUGGAGCAAUCCGGCAGGAGUAAUAUCCUGUUACCGUACAAUGAAUUCAUAGUUGUGCGGGGGGAACCCCCUGAACUGAAACAUCUAAGUAGGGGGAGGAAAAGAAAUCAACCGAGAUUCCGCAAGUAGUGGCGAGCGAACGCGGAUUAGGCCAAACCAAGGGUAGCAAUACCUUUGGGGUUGUGGACUGCAUUUAGCAUUGACGAAGUCUAGAAGAAGUGUAUGGGAAGGCACACCGAAGAGCGUGAAAGUCGCGUAUUUGAAAGACGGAGUCAGCGAGCAGUAUCCAGAGUACCGCGGGACACGAGAAAUCCCGCGGGAAGCCGGGGGGACCACCCUCCAAGCCUAAAUAUUCCCUAGUGACCGAUAGCGUAUAGUACUGUGAAGGAAAGGUGAAAAGGACCCCGGGAGGGGAGUGAAAUAGAACCUGAAACCCUGUGCCUACAAGCACCGAGAGCACGUCAAAGUGUGAUCGGGUACUUUUUGUAGAACGGUCCGGCGAGUAUAUUUAACUAGCAAGGUUAAGCACUUCAGGUGCGGAGCCGCAGCGAAAGCAAGUCUGAAUAGGGCGAAAGAGUUAGUUGGAUAUGACCCGAAACCGGGUGACCUAGCCAUGUCCAGGUUGAAGUGAGAGUAAAAUCUCAUGGAGGACCGAACCGACCUCCGUUGAAAAGGCGGCGGAUGAGGUGUGGCUAGCGGAGAAAUUCCAAUCGAACCCGGAUAUAGCUGGUUCUCCCCGAAAUAGCUUUAGGGCUAGCGUUGUAUUAGAUUACCGGAGGUAAAGCACUGAAUGGCCUAGGGGGCGAAAGCCUACCAAAGCCUAUCAAACUCUGAAUGCCGGCUAAUCGAUGUGCAGCAGUCAGACUACGUGAGAUAAGUCUCGUGGUCAAAAGGGAAAAAGCCCAGACCCACAGCUAAGGUCCCCAAAUGUCAUUAAGUGGAGAAGGAUGUGGGGUUGCGAAAACAACCAGGAUGUUGGCUUAGAAGCAGCCAUACAUUUAAAGAGUGCGUAAUAGCUCACUGGUCGAGUGACCCUGCGCCGAAAAUGUAACGGGGCUAAAUGACAUACCGAAGCUUGGGAUUCAUCGUAAGAUGAGUGGUAGGGGAGCGUCGUAUGAGGGGUGAAGUCGUAGCGAAAGCGGCGGUGGACUUCAUACGAGUGAGAAUGCCGGAAUGAGUAGCGAGAAUUAUGUGAGAAUCAUAAUGGCCGAAAGCCUAAGGUUUUUGGAGGAAGGUUCGUCCGCUCCAAGUUAGUCGGGAGCUAAGGUGAGGCCGAAAGGCGUAGCCGAUGCACAUACGGUAGAUAUUCCGUAACCACCGAAAAUUUAAGUAGGGGGACACCCUGAAAGCGCAUGACCCGGGCGUUGGUUGCCUCGGGCGUAAGGGACCGAAAAUUAGUAGGGAAGCAUGCGUAGACGGGGGCGAGAAAAGCCCUAUGUAUAUCCAAGGUGCCCGUACCGCAAACCGACACAGGUAGGUAGGAAGAGAAUUCUAAGGCCAACGGGAGAAGGGUUGUUAAGGAACUCGGCAAGUUGACCCCGUAACUUAGGGAGAAGGGGUGCUCACGAGAGUGAGCCGCAGAGAAUAGGUCCAGGCGACUGUUUAGCAAAAACACAGCUCUAUGCUAAAUCGAAAGAUGACGUAUAUGGGGUGACACCUGCCCGGUGCUGGAAGGUUAAGAGGAGAUGUGCAAGCAUUGAAUUGAAGCCCCAGUAAACGGCGGCCGUAACUAUAACGGUCCUAAGGUAGCGAAAUUCCUUGUCAGGUAAGUUCUGACCCGCACGAAUGGUGUAACGAUCUGGACACUGUCUCAACAGCCCGCCCGGCGAAAUUGUAGUACCGGUGAAGAUGCCGGUUACCCGCGACAAGACGGAAAGACCCCAUGGAGCUUUACUGUAGCCUAAUAUUGGAUUUUGGUAUUUCAUGUAUAGGAUAGGUGGGAGACUGGGAAGCGUGUACGCCAGUAUGCGUGGAGUCACUGUUGGAAUACCACUCUUGAAGUACUGAAAUUCUAACCUGCAGCCGUGAAUCCGGCUGGGGGACAUUGUUAGGUGGGCAGUUUGACUGGGGCGGUCGCCUCCAAAAGAGUAACGGAGGCGCUCAAAGGUUGGCUCAGCACGGACGGAAACCGUGCAUUAGAGUGUAAACGCAUAAGCCAGCCUAACUGCGAGACUGACGGGUCGAGCAGUAACGAAAGUUGGAGUUAGUGAUCCGGUGGUAUGUGAGUGGAAAUGCCAUCGCUCAACGGAUAAAAGCUACCCUGGGGAUAACAGGCUGAUCUCCCCCAAGAGUCCACAUCGUCGGGGAGGUUUGGCACCUCGAUGUCGGCUCAUCGCAUCCUGGGGCUGUAUUCGGUCCCAAGGGUUUGGCUGUUCGCCAAUUAAAGCGGUACGCGAGCUGGGUUCAGAACGUCGUGAGACAGUUCGGUCCCUAUCUGUCGUGGGCGCAGGAUAUUUGAGUGGAGCUGUCCCUAGUACGAGAGGACCGGGAUGGACGCACCUCUGGUGCACCAGUUGUCACGCCAGUGGCACAGCUGGGCAGCUAAGUGCGGAACGGAUAAACGCUGAAGGCAUCUAAGCGUGAAGCCGACCACAAGAUAAGAUAUCCCACUGAGUUAAUCAGGUAAGACCCCUUGAAGACUACAAGGUUGAUAGGCUGCAAGUGUAAGCGUGGCGACACGUUCAGCUAGGCAGUACUAAUCGGUCGAGGGCUUGACCAU
rnacentral:rRNA from 1 species